UAGGGAAUCUUCCACAAUGGGCGAAAGCCUGAUGGAGCAACGCCGCGUGUGUGAUGAAGGGUUUCGGCUCGUAAAACNCUGUUGUAAGAGAAGAAUGACAUUGAGAGUAACUGUUCAAUGUGUGACGGUAUCUUACCAGAAAGGAACGGCUAAAUACGUGCCAC
rnacentral:rRNA from 1 species